AGAGUUUGAUCCUGGCUCAGGAUGAACGCUGGCGGCGUGCCUAAUACAUGCAAGUCGAACGCUUUGUGCUUAAUUGAAAUGACGAGCUUGCUCUGAUUUGAUUUUUUGAUUUCAAAGAGUGGCGAACGGGUGAGUCACACGUGGGUAACCUACCUCUUAGCAGGGGAUAACAUUUGGAAACAAGUGCUAAUACCGUAUAAUACCAACAACCGCAUGGUUGUUGGUUGAAAGAUGGUUCUGCUAUCACUAAGAGAUGGACCCGCGGUGCAUUAGCUAGUUGGUAAGGUAAUGGCUUACCAAGGCAAUGAUGCAUAGCCGAGUUGAGAGACUGAUCGGCCACAAUGGGACUGAGACACGGCCCAUACUCCUACGGGAGGCAGCAGUAGGGAAUCUUCCACAAUGGGCGCAAGCCUGAUGGAGCAACGCCGCGUGUGUGAUGAAGGGUUUCGGCUCGUAAAACACUGUUAUAAGAGAAGAACGGCACUGAGAGUAACUGUUCAGUGUGUGACGGUAUCUUACCAGAAAGGAACGGCUAAAUACGUGCCAGCAGCCGCGGUAAUACGUAUGUUCCAAGCGUUAUCCGGAUUUAUUGGGCGUAAAGCGAGCGCAGACGGUUAUUUAAGUCUGAAGUGAAAGCCCUCAGCUCAACUGAGGAAUUGCUUUGGAAACUGGAUGACUUGAGUGCAGUAGAGGAAAGUGGAACUCCAUGUGUAGCGGUGAAAUGUGUAGAUAUAUGGAAGAACACCAGUGGCGAAGGCGGCUUUCUGGACUGUAACUGACGUUGAGGCUCGAAAGUGUGGGUAGCAAACAGGAUUAGAUACCCUGGUAGUCCACACCGUAAACGAUGAGUGCUAGAUGUUCGAGGGUUUCCGCCCUUGAGUGUCGCAGCU
rnacentral:rRNA from 1 species